rnacentral:tRNA from 1 species
AAGGAAGUGGCAGAGUGGUUAUGUGGCUGGCUUGAAACCGGCAUAUGGGGGUUCAAUUCCUCCCUUCCUCG